rnacentral:rRNA from 1 species
AUUGAACGCUGGCGGCAGGCUUAACACAUGCAAGUCGAACGAGUGGCGGACGGGUGAGUAAUGUCUGGGAAACUGCCUGAUGGAGGGGGAUAACUACUGGAAACGGUAGCUAAUACCGCAUACCAUCUGAUGUGCCCAGAUGGGAUUAGCUAGUAGGUGGGGUAAAGGCUCACCUAGGCGACGAUCCCUAGCUGGUCGGAGAGGAUGACCAUCCACACGGGAACUGAGACACGGUCCAGACUCCUACGGGAGGCAGCAGUUGGGAAUAUUGCACAAUGGGCGCAAGCCUGAUGCAGCCAUGCCGCGUGUGUGAAGAAGGCCUUCGGGUUGUAAAGUGCUUUCAGCGGGGAGGCGUUACUCGCAGAAGAAGCACCGGCUAACUCCGUGGCAGCAGCAACGGUGAUUC